CCUACGGGAGGCAGCAGUGAGGAAUAUUGGUCAAUGGGCGCGAGCCUGAACCAGCCAAGUCGCGUGAAGGAAGACGGUCCUAUGGAUUGUAAACCUCUUUUGUCGGGGAGCAAAAGACGCCACGCGUGGCGUUCCGAGAGUACCCGAAGAAAAAGCAUCGGCUAACUCCGUGCCAGCAGCCGCGGUAAUACGGAGGAUGCGAGCGUUAUCCGGAUUUAUUGGGUUUAAAGGGAGCGUAGGGCGGAUGUCAAGCGUGCUGUGAAAGUUUCGGGCUCAACCCGGGCCUUGCAAUGGGUACUGGCGGGCUUGAGUACGCGGAAAGCAGGCGGAAUUCGUGGUGUAGCGGUGAAAUGCUUAGAUAUGACGAAGAACCCCGAUUGCGAAGGCAGCUUGCUGCAGCGGAACUGACGCUGAUGCUCGAAAGCGUGGGUAUCGAACAGGAUUAGAUACCCCUGUAGUC
rnacentral:rRNA from 1 species